rnacentral:misc_RNA from 1 species
UCCGGCUUAUCACCGGCAGUUUCUUUAGAGUGCCCAACUAAAUGGUGGCAACUAAAGACGAGGGUUGCGCUCGUUGCGGGACUUAACCCAACAUCUCACGACACGAGCUGACGACAGCCAUGCACCACCUGUGAUCCUGCUCCGAAGAGAAACCGUGUUUCCACGGCGAUCAGGAACAUGUCAAACCCAGGUAAGGUUCUUCGCGUUGCGUCGAAUUAUACCACAUGCUCCGCUGCUUGUGCGGGUCCCCGUCAAUUCCUUUGAGUUUUAGCCUUGCGGCCGUACUCCCCAGGCGGGGCACUUAAUGCGUUAGCUGCGGCACGGGAGGAGUCGACACCUCCCACACCUAGUGCCCAUCGUUUACAGCGUGGACUAC